rnacentral:rRNA from 1 species
GAUGAACGCUGGCGGCGUGCUUAACACAUGCAAGUCGAACGAAGCACUUAAGAUUGCUUCUUCGGAUGACGUCUUUUGUGACUUAGUGGCGGACGGGUGAGUAACGCGUGGGUAACCUGCCUCACACAGGGGGAUAACAGUUAGAAAUGACUGCUAAUACCGCAUAACCCGAUAGGAUCGCAUGAUCCAGACGGAAAAGAUUUAUCGGUGUGAGAUGGACCCGCGUCUGAUUAGCUAGUUGGUGAGGUAACGGCCCACCAAGGCGACGAUCAGUAGCCGGCCUGAGAGGGUGAACGGCCACAGUGGGACUGAGACACGGCCCAAACUCCUACGGGAGGCAGCAGUGGGGAAUAUUGCACAAUGGGGGAAACCCUGAUGCAGCGACGCCGCGUGAGUGAAGAAGUAUUUCGGUAUGUAAAGCUCUAUCAGCAGGGAAGAAAAUGACGGUACCUGACUAAGAAGCCCCGGCUAACUACGUG